rnacentral:lncRNA from 1 species
AUGAAUCCGGGUGAAGGACUUUAGCUGAAUCCAUCAAUAUAAGCAUUUCAUGUGAGUCUGAGGCAUUGUUAUCAUUUGGAAUAAUAGCACUUAAAAUCACACCAAAGCCAUGUUUUAUUUUUCCUAAGGAUCACAACAAGUUAUAUUUGUUGUUAUGUUUAAGCACCAGGAAAUCAUUGACUGUAGAUAAAGAGUCAAAUAGCUGAUGUUUAUCAUGAAUCCAUUAUUACUGAUGUUUUCAAAUUUAAAUGACAGUUUCUCUUUUAAUAUGGUAUUUUUUUAAAUUACCUUCAAAUACCCCGUUUUAUGGUCUGUUUAGAAAAAUAGAGCCAUCAAAUCCCAAAUGCCUAAUCUCAAGGAGUACAAUUUUUAUGUUGUGUUACUGUCAUACCCAGAUUUAAAUUCUACCAUCCUCAAAACCAACGAUGGUUAAGAAUUUUUCUUUGUGCACAAGCUGAGUAGAGAUUUUAUUCUUUUUGAAGUACUUGGAAAAACUAAAGGAUGUUUUUAAAAA